rnacentral:lncRNA from 1 species
UUCCACGCGUUUGAGGCGCGGUCGCAGCUGAGCUGUUAGGCGCCCAGACGUAUGAGAGGGCCCGGGUGAGCUGUAGAGCCCCGGGUUCCUGGUUCUUCGGAAGAGAAGGGGAGGUUCCCGGAGGGCAGUAACUUGCAACUCUGUGUGUGAAUUUCAGGAUGGCGUGGGCGGCACGAAAACAACUACUACACAGUUGGGAAAGGAAAAUGCCCUGCAAAAGAUGUUGACAAAGCUGGAUUUCCA